CUCUCUCUCUCUCUCAUCCUAAGAAGUUCAAAGUUCAAACCAUAGUAUUGUUCAAUUCAAAAAUCAAUUUAUUCUCUGCCAUCGGAACUUAGGGUUUCACUUCGCCUUUGAAAUGAAGUUGAAGAUCAACAAAGCCUGUGAUCUCAACUCUAUUUCGGUCCUUCCUCCUCAAUCAAGGAGACCGAGUGCUAUUCCAACUGGACUACAAGCAUCACAGCUUAGAUCGCAAACAUCACAGCAAUCAUUUUCACAGGGAAUUUCAUCGCAGCGUGGCAUGUUUUCUCAGCUAUCUCAGACCUCUUUUGAUGAAGCUCUGACAAAUGACCAGAGAGUUAGUUCUCAAGAGCGAGAGAACUCUGUGAAGAAGACAUCUUGCUUGCCCCUAGUUAGCUAUGCACGUGAAGAAAGCCAAAUGCCGAUCUCAAGAUCUACUUCCAAUUUAAUGCGUAAAUGGAAUCCAAUAUCUGUUCCAGAUCAUAAAUGUCAGGUACUGGAAGAACUUGAGCACCGGAUUGGAAUGAUGGAAACUUCAUUAAACAAGUUUGGAAUGAUCUUGGGUUCCGUUCAGAGUGAUGUCAUGCAAGUGAACAAGGGAACAAAAGAAGUAUCACUGGAGAUGGAAGGCAUACGACAGAAAUUAAUUGUCCUUGAAACCUCACUGCAGCUAAUGAUCAAGGGACAAGAAGAUACUAAAUUUACUCUUGAUGGGAACUUGAAAUCUAUAUCUGAUCAACUGAGCAAGGAUAUGUAUCAAGAUAAAUCACAACAGAUUUUCUCGGUGCUUUCUGCCUUAUCAAAGCAGAUGGAAGCUUCUCUGCUGAAAUUACAUAAUGACCUCCGCAUGACCUUUACCAAAGUAACAGCUUGCAACCUGAAAACCCUCAACCAAAGUAGCCCGUCAAUUGCUGUGCUUCCACGAAAGGUUACUGGCUGUUAUACCGCUCCACAAAGAAAGCAGGAGUCCCCUGGGAAUCCAGCCAUGCCUCGAAGGGCCUGUGGGCAAGUAACAGUGUGUCCAAAGAUAGAAAUGGGAGCUUGGAACACUGUAAGGCCUGAGCAAGCUACAUUCACACAAAGGGCAUCCCACAAGGAGGAGAAGCGCAAAGGAGUUUCUUCCUUUCAGAAGGAAAAACAAUGUAGUGUUAUCGUUGAAUCAGAUGAGGAGAUUGAUGGAGGUUUUUCCUGCUUAAUUGACGAGAAGGAAACAGGCAUUGGAAACUACAUGAUUGAUGAAGCAGCAGAAGAGUCUGAGCGAAUUCUGAGAAGAGCAAGGAGGCAAAAGAGAAAAUACUGUAAUCCAAUAAUUAUUAAUUGAAGUUGUGCAGAUGAAAGAUUUCUCUUUUCAUGAAGUAUUGACGGUUUUGAAUGAAUUCUUGCCAAUGUCCCUAAUUCAUUUGUCCCAGGAGGAAUUGUAUAAUAUGCUUCUAUAACCUUUAUAAAUGGGGAAUGCAUAAUUUGGAGGCUUUGUAAGACUGUCGGCAAUGCGUUGUGGGACUGAGAGUCCUCAAUAUAAAGAUAGUAUAGACCAUUCUCUCUCUAGUCUCUGAAGAGAGACUUUUCUCUAAAGUUUCUUUUGUCAUACGAGGCUAGUACUGUUCUGUUGGUUCUGAGUCAUGCAAGAGGGUGCACUAGUUUUAGCCUUGGGAAUGGUGUUUUAUGGGUGCUUUUGGCAGCCAACUUUGAUGGUCACCAACCCUAAACAGCUAAAGGAGAUUGAGAUUGUUGGUUGAGCUCUACCUUUCGCUCUCUUUAUUUGUCAGUUUUCCUUGGGUUGCAUGGCUUUGGGUUCUUCAGUGUUUUACUUGGCUCUUUGCUUGGCUACUUCGUGAUGGUUGUUGUGGCUGAGAUUGGGUUUUUCUCCUUUGCAUGGCCGUCGUAGAAGGAUUCCCUUGCUAUGUGUGAAGUGCAACGCUGUAGCGCUCUGAAGAUGCGGAUCCUCUUUCGGGUUCAGAUUGCUAAACGAUUAGCCUAGGAUUCUGCUGUUGGGUUGGGCCUGUUCUCUCGUAGGCUAAGCUACAGAAUUAUUAGGAUCCAUUAUGUUUGCGCAGUGGCCUUGUACAGUUACUAGGCUUGGAAAUUUGCUGCUUCGGGCUUUGAACCUUGCAUUCCGUGCUCCGGACCAUUAAAAACUAACACCUGCGUCACAUCCACAUUCCUUAUUCUAUAAAUAAAUCAUUAUUGUUAUAUAUCCAUGAGCAAAAGAUAAUGAAAAGGAUUUGGGCCCUUAGUCACAAGUUGGUAAAGCGACAAUUCUUCUUCUUCUUCUUUUGUUUUAACGAUUCUCUUUUUUUGUUGUAGAGGCAACUAAUUAAAUUUUGAUGUAAUUAUGUUUUUGAUAUAAGAAGUUUCACUUUCUAGUGUUGCUUAUGAGGCAAGUUCUUGCACAGAUAAUGUAAUGGAGGUUGUUUAUAUGUUUAUCAACAUUAAACUAAUGAUUAGAUUAGUAGAAUGUUACUUGCCCAUCAAA